GAACGCUAGCGGCAGGCUUAACACAUGCAAGUCGAGGGGUAUGCCGAUUUAUCGGCAGAGACCGGCGCACGGGUGCGUAACGCGUAUGCAAUCUACCUUUCACAGAGGGAUAGCCCAGAGAAAUUUGGAUUAAUACCUCAUAGUAUAGCAGUUUCGCAUGAAACCACUAUUAAAGUCACAACGGUGAAAGAUGAGCAUGCGUCCCAUUAGCUAGUUGGUAAGGUAACGGCUUACCAAGGCAACGAUGGGUAGGGGUCCUGAGAGGGAGAUCCCCCACACUGGUACUGAGACACGGACCAGACUCCUACGGGAGGCAGCAGUGAGGAAUAUUGGACAAUGGGCGCAAGCCUGAUCCAGCCAUGCCGCGUGCAGGAUGACGGUCCUAUGGAUUGUAAACUGCUUUUAUACAGGAAGAAACACUACUUCGUGAAGUAGCUUGACGGUACUGUAAGAAUAAGGAUCGGCUAACUCCGUG
rnacentral:rRNA from 1 species